UGGGGAAUUUUGCACAAUGGGGGAAACCCUGAUGCAGCGACGCCGAGUGAUUUAGAAGGCCUUCGGGUUGUAAAAAUCUUUUGUAUGGGAAGAAAAUGACAGUACCAUACGAAUAAGGACCGGCGAAUUACGUGCCAGCAGCCGCGGUAAUACGUAAGGUCCGAGCGUGGUGCGGAAUCAUUGGGCGUAAAGGGUACGUAGGCGGGUAAGCAAGUUAGAAGUGAAAUCCUGUAGCUCAACUACAGUCAUCUUUUAAAACUUCUCAUCUUGAGAUAUGGAAGGGAAAGUGGAAUUCCUAGUGUAUCGCUGACAUGCUCAGAUAUUAGGAGGAAUCCCGUUGGCGAAGGCGACUUUCUUUCCAUAAUCUGACUCCCAGGUACGAAAGCGUGGGUAGCAAACAGG
rnacentral:rRNA from 1 species